AUGCUGCUGGAGAAGGGGUACGCCGUGAAGACCACCGUCAGGAACCCCGAUGACACGGAAAAGACCGCGCAUCUCAAGGCCUUGGAAGCGCUCGGACCCUUGGAGGUCUUCCGCGCCGAUCUGAACGAAGAGGGCAGCUUCGACAAUGCUGUCGCCGGCUGCGACUACGCCUUCCUCGUCGCCGCUCCGGUGACCCUCUUGCCGGAGAACCCUGAGGAAGAAGUGAUCCAGCCAGCGAUUCAGGGAACCCUGAACGUGAUGAGGUCGUGCGUGAAGGCGGGGACGGUGAAGCGCGUGGUCCUCACAUCGUCCACGGCCGCCAUCUCCAGCCGGCCGCUGCAAGGUGAAGGCCAUGUCCUGGAUGAGGAAUCCUGGUCCGAUGUCGAGUACCUCAGGGCCAACAAGAUCGGUACCUGGGCGUACCCUGCGUCGAAGGUGCUCGCGGAGAAGGCAGCGAUGGCGUUCGCGGAGGAGAAGGGCCUCAGCCUGGUCACCGUGUGCCCCGUCGUCGUCGUCGGCAGGGCCCCGGCGACAAAGGUGACGACCAGCGUCCCCGAGAUCCUCUCCUUGCUAUCCGGCGACGACGACAUGGUCGACAGACUGGAACUCAUCGAGCAGGCGUCGGGGUCGAUCCCGUUGGUCCACAUCGAGGAGGUGUGCCGCGCCGAGAUAUUCACCGCCGAGGAGGCCACGUCGGGGCGGUACAUCGUGUGCACCCUCAACACCUCCGGCGUGGCGCUCGCCCACUUCCUGGCGGCCAAGUACCCGCAGUACGAAAUCAACACAGAUCAUAUUGGUGGUCUUCCGGAGAAGCCCAGGGUGUGCAUUUGGUCGGACAAGAUCGUCAAGGAAGGGUUCGAGUACAAGUACACUAACCUGGACGAGAUAUACGACGACGUCGUCGUGUACGGGAGGGCCUUGGGAGUCCUUCCAUACUGA
rnacentral:rRNA from 1 species